UUCUUUAUUACAUGAUUAUUUAUACAUAUUUAGAUUAUUUCUUAGAUUAAAUCUAAUUUAUAAUCUAAUUAUUAAAUCUAAAAUUAAAAUUUUAGAUCAAUCACGAACUGCAAGGUUGUCCUGCUGUAAGGUUUACCCCUUACAGUGCAAAAGUUGUCCUAGUUUGUGUAGAUCUAUCUUUAAUCAUAAAUUUGUUAGAUAUGAUCUAAAUUAAAUUUAUAAUUUAUUAGAUU
rnacentral:lncRNA from 1 species